rnacentral:sRNA from 1 species
GUUUGAAGCAGAUUGACAUGGUCAUAUUUGCGCAUCAAAAGGAUCCCUUUGGCCAAAGCAUGUGUCGAAACAGGACACGGCUGGGAGGGCGGCCGGCAUGAGAUCAUGACAGCCGUCCAUGGAGGAGUUGAAUGAGGUCAUCUGACGCAUGAGGUGAGGAGUUUAUCUCUUCCUACCACCCCACCUCCCACCAUAAUGGUCUGCCUUACCACAGCCUGAAAGGAAUGGAACCUUGCUGCUACCAAGGACUGGGACCUCUCCAACUGUGAGCCACAAGAUGCAGCAGCCCUGCGAAGGCUCUUCACCAGCUUCCACGAUCACAGAAGCCUAGUCAAGGGCCAUUCUAUGCUACUCACAAGGAAUUAUGGCUUCUGUGGGCCAAGACACUUUUCCUUCAUGGACUUUUCUGACAUCAAACAUUUUAAAAUUGCAAUUUAUGACUGAAUAAAUUGUAUGUGUAUAAAGAGAAAUAUUAUUUCAGUUGGAUUUAUGUCUCCAUCAUCACACUUACUGACGCCUCUGUGAGCGUGAAUAAAUACCAUGAACAUUGUGUGCCUCGUGAAUGAACUGACCUCGGGUGUCUCUCACUAAAAGCACAUGUAUGCAUAUCAUUUCUUCUGUGGUUGGUUCGGUGUUUUUGUUAAUCAUGUUGUCCUGAGUUUUGUAUUUGUUCCUGGUUUGGGUAUUUUCAGAAAUAGGGUCUAUCAUGUACUCUUGGCUGGCCUGGAACUUACUGUGAUAUCCUCCUACCUCUGGUUCCUGAACGUAAGUAAUCAUUCUCAGCUCCCUUUAAGAAUGAGUUUAAAGGAAUCACUCCAAGCAUCUGGUGUGACACACAGGGACAGCAGAUACACAUUGAGGGACUACCUUCCCUGAGUGACGACCUCCCUUCCAGAGUCUGCUCUCAACCUACCAGCUGGGCCAGUGGGAAUGAAGGCUGCUGCUACGGCCUGAAUGUCCCCUCCGAAACUCACACGGACCUUCAACUGUGACAGCAGAGAGACUUUAAAAAGUGGUCAGGUCAUGAGGACUCUGCCCUUGGUAAUGAAUUAAUGCUGUUACCAUGGUUGGUUAUUUACCAGAGGAGUGGGGCCCUGAUCAAAGGAUACUUGUCCCCCAUCCUCCCAACCCAUGCUGUCACUCAGCAAGAAGGCCUACACCAGAUGCGGCAGCUGCCCCCGCCCCAUCUCGUACUUUCCAGCCUCCAGCACAGAGAGUCAAAUAAACUGCCAUAGUUUAUGACUCUCCCAGUCUGUGCUAUUCUGUUACGGUGAUAGAAAAUGAACAACGACAGUUACUAUAUAGAGAAGCCAGGGGAAAAGAUGAGUGUGGAAUAAAACUGCCUCUGAGAAACACAUCAAAGAAAACGUGUGUGCCUUGGAAUGAAAUUGGAGACAUGUGGUUUCUAUGUAUUUUCCAUUAGAUUGCUAAUAAUGGGAUGUAAAUCACCUGUGGAAGCAGACGUGCCCGGCCCAGGCACCGGUGCCUAUUGGCACCAGCUGCUUCCGAUUAACUACCUGUCCCGAAGAACUACCUGUACUUCUUGGGGUUUGUGGGGGACAGGAAAUUAGCCUCUGGCCACCUUACCUUUAGUCCCACACUUCUCUCAAGCUGUACAACCAACAGAUAUGAAAAGGACAAAUUGUGUGAAUGGUGGGAAGUCAGAUAUGGAGGUCACUCCGUAUGCCCCCAAAAACGUUUGGCCAUGAACGGAGUAUAGUCUCUCCGGAAACACAACCCCUGUUCUAGAUGACACGUCCGACAGAUAGGUAUCAUCACAGAGGGUCGAAGGUGUGUAUCAAAGCAAGCAUUAUUCCUGUAGCAAGGAUGGUGCCCCCCCCCUUUUUUUAAAUGAAAAAACAUCAGGAAACCAUUUUGUGGCUGAACCACACAACCAAAAGCAGUGGCGUUUAAGAAAAUUGCAUAAAACAUCAUAUCAAAAACCUCUGGCAAUGUCAAAAAAGUAAGAUUCCUGAAUCCAGUGUGUAGCCAAAGAAGAAAAUUCAAUUUCGUUUUUUCACUUUGUCUGCCAAUUUUUAUAGCACUUCAUUUAAAAUGAAAUCUCUGAAGAAUCGAUUCAAAUUAGCUUUACAGUUUUCCCCAAAGAAUCCACUUUAAAAUAAAUUGAAUCGGAGCAUGUGACAUAAGUCAGCAUAAAACUCAUGUUAACUAGUCCGAAGGAAAAACUUCUCACCAUCAGGAAACACUCUCACAUGACCAAGCCAAAAAUAGCCUUUAGAUCGUCACUUUCAAAAAGUUACAAAAAUAGGGAGACUUGUUGGAACAAUGAUCGGGUGAGUUCCCUCUAAGGAAAUGGCCUGGAAUCCUGUGAUGAAUUACGAAAGAAAAUCCUUAGGGCAAAAUGGAAAUGCUAGACCUUGUUCUUCAUACGCAGACUGGCAGCCAUAGAAAUACCUUUAGCUGGACCACCGGCUUCUGCUCGACGUUGACAAUGGGCAGUGCCAGGUGUAGACUGAAGGUAGAGGCUGUGGUCUAGGCCCUGCCUGUUUUACUUCGAUGAGGCAAACCUAUCGUAAGUAUUUAUCAUAUUUAGAUUCUUAAGGUCCUUGGUGACAGUGACAGUAUCUUAGUUGACCAAUGUCUAUCCUUGACGCACAACAGUAAUUUCAUAAAUCCUCGAGGGAGGGACACAGAAUGGUUGAAUGAACUUAUCGUUUAAAUCGGAUCAGACCUAAUGCUUCUUUCAUAGCUUCUUUCUUCCCAGUUGUUAGGGUGGAGAGGGUCUUGUCCAUGUGAUCCAGGAGGGGGUGGUGGGUGAUAAUGAGCUCAUGUUUUUCCUUCCUGAAGUAGAGAAAUAUGUAGGUUGGUAAAUCAUGAAAGUCUUUACAGAUAUGUUCAAAUGCUCUGCUUCAAAGGAACCACACAGAAGUUUAUUUUAAAGGACUCACUGUCACAUGUGAUCCACGCUUCUCUUCACAACACCCAUCGGAGUGGGCUUUCUUUCCAUUCCCCCAUACUGACUGCUUAGCUUCAUAAAAACUGCAUUUCAUUUUCUGUUACUUUUACUUCUGCUCCCAUUCUCCAGCCCAGAGAUCCAUGAGUCCAACCAUCUGAUCAUCUCCCCUCAAGCAGUUGUCAGAGACAUAGGGAUGGCGCACCUAGUGGCUGCUGGGAUACCUUUAAAGUAGUGUAUGCCUCACACUGUUAUGCUUUAUGCUGACUGAUUAAUAUUCUCCUGAGUCCAGAAAACACUGUUAUAACCCAAGUGUUAUAUCUGAGGUACAGACAGACUAAAAUCUGCCCAAAACGAGAACUCUAUCAAGUAAAAGAAUCAAGGUUUUGAAUCCAGUAAGUCUGGCUACAGAGCCAUGAGACAUAUGUACUCUUUGUUAACCUGUGGUCUUGACUUAUUAUGUGCUAGUGGAAGGAAUGGAAUUUAGACAAUUAUAUCAUAAAUCACGUAUUUUACGGUGAUUCGUUUUUAUGUAAUCUGUGUUCCCUGUAUGUGCAGUGACCUUGGAGGACAGAAGAGGGCAUGGAUUCCCUCUUCUGGGAACUGGGGUUGGAUGGUUCUGUAGGGACUGGACUUGAACCUGGAUCCUCUGGAAGAGCAGCCAGUGGUCUUAACUGCUGAACCAUCUCUCUUUUCCCCAAAUCAUGUCAUUUUAAUGGUAACGAGGUAGCAAGUUUAGUGUCUUCUCAUGUCGAUGUGACCAAAUCUCAAAUCACACAAGAAUAUGCUGCUGUUCUUGUCUCACAGACUAGGGUUUCAUUUGCUGAGUUAUGGAAGCCAAAACCCAAACAAUUUGUCCUUUCCUUCCUCAUUUGGUGCCCAACACACACCGAAUGCAUCACUAACUCUCAUAUCCGAUACUGCACUCAGUUGCUCCUGCCCCACCACACUGCAGAUACCCACAUGCCUGCUGAUCCCUUAGGAAGAUGGCCGCCUGCAAGUCAAUGGGAGAACUCUGGGAGAAGAUGAGCCUGCUGCUGACACUCUACUUUGGGUCUUCUGGUCUCUGGCACUGUUGGAGAUCCAUCUCGGCUCUGUGAGGUGGUGCCUGGUGCUUCUGACAGCAGCCUGAGCUGACUCAGACACUCUCCUCCACAGAAACUGGUCACCGUCACAAUCUGCUUCACUCUAGCGUCUGGAUCCCUGGUAAGAAGGUGAGCUCGGAGUGGGCAGCAAGUGUCCGGGCCUGGCUUCAGUCAGCCGGGUGUUCCCAGAGUCUGGUGUGAGUACCUCAUGCAAAGCUGAUGCUUAUUAGACAUCCCUUGAAUGAACAGCAGGUACAAGUGUCCGAGUGAACGGAUGAACAAGUAGCCAUUGUGAAUUUCCCCUCUGAGAAGAAGACUCAGGCCUGGGUUGUAUUUAGAAGCAAGGGCCUUCUCUCUGUAUCGGCUGGUGUAGUAUUAGUGGGAAUUUAUGACAUUUCACCAAAUACUGCAGAUUUCUAGAAGUUCAAGUUUUAGUUCUUCAAUGAAUUCAAUAAAAUUUAAUCUCACUGAUUUUAUUUUGAAAGAGGCAAGCUUGUAUCUCUAGAGUUAAGAGGAGAUCAUCCUUAGAUCUAUCAAUCCAACAUUAUCACAGUUGGAAGGGAAUCCACAAGCAUGAGAAACGUCCUCAUUUAAUUAAUGGCAUGCUCGAUUUCAGGCUGGAAAGUGUCCUUGCUGGUUUCCGUGGGUGCAGUGACAUCGUGUGAGUUCUGCAGGCUUGCCACCCAGGGAGACCGGAAUGCAUGGGAGGGUUUCUCUUGAAGUCUUCCAAGGACUCCUAUUUCUGAGGAACUCAUUAUUCACUUAAUUAUUCAUUCUGUUUAUUUACUGUAUAGUUAUUACACAUAAAUAUGGUGUAAGUCCCCAGAAUCCUCAAACACCAGAUGCCAGCUUCCCUCCGCAUUCCCCAAAGACAGAGCAGAGCCAUCGCCGUGAGGAUUCAAACAGCUAAAACCCAAUUAAAGUCGUGCCAGCGUGAUCCUUUCCAAAAGGAAAACCCCGAAACGAAUCAGCUUUUAGUCACCCUCCUGACUGCUUCUGCACAGACAAACAAACAAAAAAAUUCCUGAAAGCCGAAGCUGGAAAUAGCGUUGGCAUUUGAAUCAUGGCUCUGGUGAACUCCGGCUCAGGUCAAGUAGACUUUGUAUCGUGUCGGGCUAAUUCAACUCGAUAUCAUUUCUUUCAUCUGACGAAUCAGAGGAGACAGAGAAAAUGGUGUUGUGCUUUGCAAGUUUCCCACUUGUCUGGUGUUUGGAGCCCUGAGGUGACAUAUCCUUGCUAGAGCUUGGCACCCCUGCAUUACAGGUCUCCUCUCCUGUGGCUCUUGCCUCCCUACGGGAUGGACUGACAUCCUGAGGAGGCAAACGUGCUACCCAAGCUCUCUGAAAGGGCGAAGGCUGAGGAAGAGGACAGAGGAGGCCAGCUUCCUGCGACGGUUCAGAAAGAAACUUUCUCACGAGGGUAGUACCAGGCUGGCCACUGGGAUGAGGGAAGGCACGUUGGAGGGUAGUUAGGGAAGGGGGUGUGUUCACGGGGCUCAUUUCCCUGGUGGCACUCACUUAAUGUAGAACAAAGUGACUUUGUAGACCAGUGUCUUCGGGUUCUACUGCUGUGA